GACGAACGCUGGCGGCGUGCUUAACACAUGCAAGUCGAACGGAAAGGCCCUGCUUUUGUGGGGUGCUCGAGUGGCGAACGGGUGAGUAACACGUGAGUAACCUGCCCUUGACUUUGGGAUAACUUCAGGAAACUGGGGCUAAUACCGGAUAGGAGCUCCUGCUGCAUGGUGGGGGUUGGAAAGUUUCGGCGGUUGGGGAUGGACUCGCGGCUUAUCAGCUUGUUGGUGGGGUAGUGGCUUACCAAGGCUUUGACGGGUAGCCGGCCUGAGAGGGUGACCGGCCAAAUGGGGACUGGGACACGCCCCAGCCCCCGAGGGGGGGAAGCGGGGGGGAAUAUUGCAAAAGGGGGGGAAGCCUGGUGCAGCAACCCCGGGGGGGGGAUGACGGCCUUCGGGUUGAAAACCGUUUUCGCCUGUGACGAAGCGGGAGUGACGGUAAUGGGUAAAGAAGCACCGGCUAACUACG
rnacentral:rRNA from 1 species